GGGGUGGCUAUGAUAGAGAUAAUUCCUCGUACUGAAUGCUUGUAAUUGUAAUGUGCAAUUGGGCAUGACAGACCACUUUUACACCCAUAGAAUUUGAGCCACC
rfam:Morus notabilis contig12228, whole genome shotgun sequence.